rnacentral:rRNA from 1 species
AACGAACGCUGGCGGCAGGCUUAACACAUGCAAGUCGAGCGCAUCCUUCGGGGUGAGCGGCGGACGGGUGAGUAACGCGUGGGAACGUGCCCUCUUCUACGGAAUAGCCUCGGGAAACUGAGAGUAAUGCCGUAUACGCCCGCAAGGGGAAAGAUUUAUCGGAGGAGGAUCGGCCCGCGUUGGAUUAGGUAGUUGGUGGGGUAACGGCCUACCAAGCCGACGAUCCAUAGCUGGUUUGAGAGGAUGAUCAGCCACACUGGGACUGAGACACGGCCCAGACUCCUACGGGAGGCAGCAGUAGGGAAUCUUGGACAAUGGGGGCAACCCUGAUCCAGCCAUGCCGCGUGAUCGAUGAAGGCCUUAGGGUUGUAAAGAUCUUUCAGCUGGGAAGAUAAUGACGGUACCAGCAGAAGAAGCCCCGGCUAACUCCGUG